rnacentral:rRNA from 1 species
CAGCCGCCGCGGGAAUACGUAGGUGGCAAGCGUUGUCCGGAAUUAUUGGGCGUGAAGGGCUCGCAGGCGGUUUCUUAAGUCUGAUGUGAAAGCCCCCGGCUCAACCGGGGAGGGUCAUUGGAAACUGGGAAACUUGAGUGCAGAAGAGGAGAGUGGAAUUCCACGUGUAGCGGUGAAAUGCGUAGAGAUGUGGAGGAACACCAGUGGCGAAGGCGACUCUCUGGUCUGUAACUGACGCUGAGGAGCGAAAGCGUGGGGAGCGAACAGGAUUAGAUACCCCAGUAGUCCCUGUCUCUUAUAC